ACCCAAACUCUACCUUAAAAAAUUUUGGCUAAGAUCAAGUGUAGUAUCUGUUCUUAUCAGUUUAAUAUCUGAUACGUCCUCUAUCUGAGGAGAAAAUAUUAAAUGGAUUUUUGGAGCAGGGAGAUGGAAUAGGAGCUUGGUCUGUCCACUCCACGCAUUGAACUAGUAUUGCAGUACUUCCAAGAAUGGUGCACCCUGU
rnacentral:snRNA from 1 species